rnacentral:rRNA from 1 species
UACAGAGGGUGCAAGCGUUAAUCGGAAUUACUGGGCGUAAAGCGUGCGCAGGCGGUUUUGUAAGACAGGCGUGAAAUCCCCGGGCUCAACCUGGGAAUUGCGCUUGUGACUGCAAGGCUAGAGUACGGCAGAGGGGGAUGGAAUUCCGCGUGUAGCAGUGAAAUGCGUAGAUAUGCGGAGGAACACCAAUGGCGAAGGCAAUCCCCUGGGCCUGUACUGACGCUCAUGCACGAAAGCGUGGGGAGCAAACAGG